UACGGGGGGAGCAAGCGUUGUUCGGAAUUACUGGGCGUAAAGGGCGUGUAGGCGGCCAACUAAGUCCGACGUGAAAUCCCCAGGCUUAACCUGGGAACUGCGUCGGAUACUGGAUGGCUUGAAUCCGGGAGAGGGAUGCAGAAUUCCAGGUGUAGCGGUGAAAUGCGUAGAUAUCUGGAGGAAUACCGGUGGCGAAGGCGGCAUCCUGGACCGGCAUUGACGCUGAAGCGCGAAAGCUAGGGGAGCAAACGGG
rnacentral:rRNA from 1 species